UCGGAUCAUUUUUGCGCCUUUCUGUAAUAUUUUCUGCAGAAAAUCUGCAACAUUCGUGCGAUUUGGUUGUAGAAUAUCUCCUUCUGACCUCCAGCAGCGCUUUGACGUCCAUCGGUGUGUCUGUCUGACUCCCUUCCCCUCCUCUUCCUCUUCCUCCCUCCAUACCCGGCUUCUCCUCCUCCUUUUCCUCCUCCUCCUCCUGGAAUGGUUGUAAGUUGAGCAUCAAGCUUCCUCCUAUUGUUCCUCCCAAUCAGACCAUCCACCGCCCAGGCCUCUGUGGUCGCUGACCAAGGACUACAUGCCGCACAAACGGAGGACAAAUGAAGAAGUAUUGGGCUCAAAACAGAACAGGAACAAAAUCAGGCAAAGGCCUGACACAGGAGCUGAAAGAUGCAUCAUCCUUCUUUUCUUAAGUCGUUUCAUUCUCUGAGAGCUGCAGCUUUACUCAUUUAUUACCAGACAACAGAUACAGACGUAUUUCUUGGAAAAUGUGUGAAAUAUUUAAAGUAUCUUGAUCUUUCAUGGGAUUAGUCAUACCAGGAAAGAGUUUUUUCUACUCUGUCCAGUGGUGGUUCUUACAUAAACGAGGGCCUGGGCGACCCGUUCCCUCUGCAAACUUUAUUCCUAUUUAUAUUUGUGAUGGUAGAGCAGAAACAUGUUUUUUGUUUUUUUUCUGACAUUACUAUAACUGAAUAUUGAAGUGGAAAAUAAUACUGCUGAAAUAAAAAUUAUUUUUAGUUUAAGGUUGUUAUUAUUGAUAUAAAAAUGACUAGAAAAUGAUCUUAUUGUUGGGAUUAUAUAAC